AUUCAAAGACGAAUUUCUGAAACUGUGGAUUUCCCCAAGAAAUCAAAAUAAGCUUUGAAGUAGAGGCCGUAUGGAAGUCUAUUCCAAAGAGUCAGCCGGACCUUGGAGAGUGACUGUGGAUUAUGACAACCUUAAUCAGAUGAUGCAACAAGUGUGUCUGCUGUUCUGUGCACGGAAACUUCACUGGAACAAACACAUGCAUGUCCUGGACCCUGGUGCACCAUUACCCUAAAAACCAUUGUCAUUGACUGCCUACUACAACGUAAUCUGAAACAGGGGAAUCCUCACAUAUCAGAGACAGUGACACUCUUUACCACCUCUCUGCACGUCUAUGGCAUUUUUUUUGCCAUGUCAUAAUCCAGUAUGGAGCAGUCUCUGUUUAUUUGUUGGUGACAUUCUAUGGCCUACAUUUUGAUCCACUGCAUUACAGUAAUUGAAGCAGGAAGCCUUUAAGGCUGCAGUUCUGCAUGGGGCUCAAAGCAAGAGAAGACUGCACAGAAGGUCAAAGCUGCGGUGCAAGCUUUCCUGAAAUGGACCACGUGAUGCAGCGAGCGCAAUGGUCCUGAAAGGGAACGUAGUUCGCAGAGAUACUGUGUGAGGUCUCUGGCAAGUCCCAACAUG